UACGAAGGGGGCGAGCGUUGUUCGGAAUUACUGGGCGUAAAGGGCGCGCAGGCGGCCGAUCAAGUCAGGCGUGAAAGCCCCGGGCUUAACCUGGGAAUUGCGCUUGGGACUGAUGGGCUUGAGUUCGGGAGAGGAGAGUGGAAUUCCCAGUGUAGAGGUGAAAUUCGUAGAUAUUGGGAAGAACACCGGUGGCGAAGGCGGCUCUCUGGACCGAUACUGACGCUGAGGCGCGAAAGCGUGGGGAGCAA
rnacentral:rRNA from 1 species